rnacentral:antisense_RNA from 1 species
GAGAGUUACUCCUUUGUGAGUGAUUUUAAGUAGGCAUAGAGAAAGACUUUAGCGAGUAAAUUUCUCUAUGCUUUUAUU